rnacentral:rRNA from 1 species
CAGCAGCCGCGGUAAUACGUAGGUGGCAAGCGUUGUCCGGAAUUAUUGGGCGUAAAGCGCGCGCAGGCGGAUCAGUUAGUCUGUCUUAAAAGUUCGGGGCUUAACCCCGUGAUGGGAUGGAAACUGCUGAUCUAGAGUAUCGGAGAGGAAAGUGGAAUUCCUAGUGUAGCGGUGAAAUGCGUAGAUAUUAGGAAGAACACCAGUGGCGAAGGCGACUUUCUGGACGAAAACUGACGCUGAGGCGCGAAAGCCAGGGGAGCGAACGGGAUUAGAUACCCAGUAGUCCCUGUCUCUUAUACAC